AACGAACGCUGGCGGCGUGCCUAACACAUGCAAGUCGAACGAGAAAGCUCCCUUCGGGGGGUUAGUAAAGUGGCGCAAGGGUGAGUAACACGUGAAUAAUCUGCCCUCGAAAUUGGGAUAACUCGGCGAAAGUUGAGCUAAUACCGGAUAAGACCACGCUUCUCAAGAAGCGCGGCCAAAGGGGUCUCAAUCCCCGUUUGAGGAUGAGUUCGCGGACCAUUAGCUUGUUGGUGAGAUAAAAGCUCACCAAGGCUACGAUGGUUAGCCGGCCUGAGAGGGUGAUCGGCCACACUGGAACUGAGACACGGUCCAGACUCCUACGGGAGGCAGCAGUGGGGAAUAUUGCGCAAUGGGCGAAAGCCUGACGCAGCAACGCCGCGUGAGGGAUGAAGGUUUUAGGAUCGUAAACCUCUGUCGGAUGGGAAGAAUUAUGACGGUACCAUCAGAGGAAGCCCCGGCUAACUCCGUGCCAGCAGCCGCGGUAAUACGGAGGGGGCAAGCGUUGUUCGGAAUUAUUGGGCGUAAAGCGUAUGUAGGCGGUUGGACAAGUCAGACGUGUAAGCCCGUGGCUCAACCACGGAAUUGCGUUUGAAACUGUUUAACUUGAGUGCAGGAGAGGAAAGCGGAAUUCCCAGUGUAGCGGUGAAAUGCAUUGAUAUUGGGAAGAACAUCGGUGGCGAAGGCGGCUUUCUGGCCUGAUACUGACGCUCAGAUACGAAAGCCAGGGGAGCGAACGGGAUUAGAUACCCCGGUAGUCCUGGCUGUAAACGAUGGGUACUAGGUGCAGGAGGUAUCGAUCCCUUCUGUGUCGCAGCUAACGCAUUAAGUACCCCGCCUGGGGAGUACGGUCGCAAGGCUGAAACUCAAAGGAAUUGACGG
rnacentral:rRNA from 1 species